CAGAACAUCAGGUGAAACUCUUCUUCUCUCCUUCCCUUUCUCCUGAGGGAGAAGUGCCAGAAUUGUGUGCCUUCUCUGAAUUCCGCAGAGCCUAGCCAGUUACUGAGAGUCACAGCCACUGUUGAGAUCCUGGAUGACUGCUGAGAUCCGUAGUCUGCUAAAUAUCAUGCCAUCUGCAGUGAUCCUCAUUAUCUACUGAGAUUCUCACCGGCUGCCGUAAUCCAGGAGAGUAACGGUAAGGCGAAUCACUUGGGUCAACUUGAACAAUUCACCUCGUUUCUCUUGUUCUG
rnacentral:lncRNA from 10 species